rnacentral:rRNA from 1 species
UAGGGAAUCUUCGGCAAUGGACGAAAGUCUGACCGAGCAACGCCGCGUGAGUGAAGAAGGUUUUCGGAUCGUAAAACUCUGUUGUUAGAGAAGAACAAGGACGUUAGUAACUGAACGUCCCCUGACGGUAUCUAACCAGAAAGCCACGGCUAACUACGUGCCAGCAGCCGCGGUAAUACGUAGGUGGCAAGCGUUGUCCGGAUUUAUUGGGCGUAAAGCGAGCGCAGGCGGUUUCUUAAGUCUGAUGUGAAAGCCCCCGGCUCCACCGGGGAGGGUCAUUGGAAACUGGGAGACUUGAGUGCAGAAGAGGAGAGUGGAAUUCCAUGUGUAGCGGUGAAAUGCGUAGAUAUAUGGAGGAACACCAGUGGCGAAGGCGGCUCUCUGGUCUGUAACUGACGCUGAGGCUCGAAAGCGUGGGGAGCAAACAGG